rnacentral:rRNA from 1 species
GAUGAACGCUAGCGGGAGGCCUAACACAUGCAAGCUGUGCGGUAUUUCUUCUUCGGAAAUGAGAGAGCGGCGUACGGGUGCGGAACACGUGUGCAACCUGCCUUUAUCUGGGGGAUAGCCUUUCGAAAGGAAGAUUAAUACUCCAUAAUAUAUUGAACGGCAUCGUUUGAUAUUGAAAGCUCCGGCGGAUAGAGAUGGGCACGCGCAAGAUUAGCUAGUUGGUGAGGUAACGGCUCACCAAGGCAAUGAUCUUUAGGGGGCCUGAGAGGGUGAUCCCCCACACUGGUACUGAGACACGGACCAGACUCCUACGGGAGGCAGCAGUGAGGAAUAUUGGUCAAUGGGUGCAAGCCUGAACCAGCCAUCCCGCGUGAAGGACGACUGCCCUAUGGGUUGUAAACUUCUUUUGUAUAGGGAUAAACCUACCCUCGUGAGGGUAGCUGAAGGUACUAUACGAAUAAGCACCGGCUAACUCCGUGCCAGCCGCCGCCGUAAUAC